AACGAACGCUGGCGGCAUGCCUAACACAUGCAAGUCGAACGAGACCUUCGGGUCUAGUGGCGCACGGGUGCGUAACGCGUGGGAACCUGCCCUUAGGUUCGGAAUAACUCCCCGAAAGGGGUGCUAAUACCGGAUAAUGUCUUCGGACCAAAGAUUUAUCGCCUUUGGAUGGGCCCGCGUUGGAUUAGCUAGUUGGUAGGGUAAAAGCCUACCAAGGCGACGAUCCAUAGCUGGUCUGAGAGGAUGAUCAGCCACACUGGGACUGAGACACGCCCCAGCCGCCUCCGGGGGGCAGCAGUGGGGAAUAUUGACCAAUGGGCCAAGCCCGGUUCCCGCAAUGCCGGUUGGAGGAUAAAGGCCUUAGGUUUUUAAGCCUCUUUUCCCCGGGAUGAUAAUGACAAUCCCGGGGGAAAAGACCCCGGCUAACCCCGU
rnacentral:rRNA from 1 species